UGACCGAUGACGAGAUAUGCUUUUAAAAGAUCACCAUCUUUCGGGACUGAAUGGCCUUUAAUGGGCUUUGCUGUCAAAAACGCAUUUCUGAGGCUC
rfam:Helianthus annuus linkage group 4, whole genome shotgun sequence.